rnacentral:rRNA from 1 species
GUGGGGAAUAUUGCACAAUGGGCGCAAGCCUGAUGCAGCAACGCCGCGUGAGGGAUGACGGCCUUCGGGUUGUAAACCUCUUUUAGUAGGGAAGAAGCGUAAGUGACGGUACCUGCAGAAAAAGCACCGGCUAACUACGUGCCAGCAGCCGCGGUAAUACGUAGGGUGCAAGCGUUGUCCGGAAUUAUUGGGCGUAAAGAGCUCGUAGGCGGCUUGUCGCGUCUGCUGUGAAAACCCGAGGCUCAACCUCGGGCUUGCAGUGGGUACGGGCAGGCUAGAGUGCGGUAGGGGAGAUUGGAAUUCCUGGUGUAGCGGUGGAAUGCGCAGAUAUCAGGAGGAACACCGAUGGCGAAGGCAGAUCUCUGGGCCGUAACUGACGCUGAGGAGCGAAAGCAUGGGGAGCGAACAGGAUUAGAUACCCUAGUAGUCC